ACACCGUUGGUGAAACGGUAUCAUGCGUCGUUGCCAAGUGCAACCCUCGACGCGGCAGGGGUUCGACUCCCUUACGGUGUA